rnacentral:RNase_P_RNA from 1 species
AGCGCAGACCGCUCUAUCGCUGUCCCGUUUACUCGGGAGAGAGGAAAGUCCGGGCAACGCAGGGCACCAUGCUUCUUAACAGGAAGGCGGGCGAAAGCUUGCAGUAAGGUAACAGAAAACGACCACCUGGUUUCGACGUGUCGCGACCGGGAACGGGUGAAAAGGCGAGGUAAAAGCUCACCGGUGGUUGUGGCAACACAAUCAGCCGUACUUCUGAUGGGUUGCAAAGCCAAAUAUAUCAUGAUUUUCAGGUACGCCUGAAUACAGAACGGCCCGUUUUGAUUCUUCGGAAGUCGUGAGGGGUAGGCUGCUGGAUCGGGUUAGUGAUAACCCGGGUAGAUAAAUGAUAGAGACCCUGAGACUUCGGCGUGAGCUCAGUCGAACGCUUGUCGAAGGGCACAGAACCCGGCUUACAGGUCUGCGUAUUUU